AGCGGAGGGAUAGAAACCAACAGGGAUUGCCUCAGUAACUGCGAGUGAAGCGGCAAAAGCUCAAAUUUGAAAUCUGGCCCGUCUCUUGGCGGCCCGAGUUGUAAUUUGGAGGCGCACUUUCGGAGCGGGCGCCGUCCCAAGUUCCUUGGAACAGGACGUCGCAGAGGGUGAGAAUCCCGUGCCUGGAUGGCCGCGCCGCUCCAUGUGAGGUGUGUCCGACGAGUCGAGUUGUUUGGGAAUGCAGCUCAAAGUGGGUGGUAAAUUUCAUCUAAAGCUAAAUAUUGGCGAGAGACCGAUAGCGCACAAGUAGAGUGAUCGAAAGAUGAAAAGCACUUUGAAAAGAGAGUUAAAAAGUACGUGAAAUUGUUGAAAGGGAAGCGCUUGAGACCAGACUCGGCCGCCGGCGAUCAUCGGUGCUUCUGCGCCGUGCGCUCGUCGGUGGCCGGGCCAGCAUCGGUUCUGGCGGCGGGAAAAAGGCCCGGGAAAUGUGGCUCCCCUCGGGGAGUGUUUAUAGGCCCGGGUGUCAUGCCGCCAGCCGGGACCGAGGACCGCGCUUCGGCUAGGAUGCUGGCGUAAUGGUCUUAAGCGACCCGUCUUGAAACACGGACCAAGGAGUCUAACAUCUAUGCGAGUGUUCGGGUGGAAAACCCGUGCGCGUAAUGAA
rnacentral:rRNA from 1 species